GACGAACGCUGGCGGCAUGCUUAACACAUGCAAGUCGAGCGGACCGUUCCUGCUUUUGUGCGGUGCUCUAGUUGCCAACUGGUGAUUUACACUUGUGUACCCUGCCCUUCACUUUAGGAUAACGUCAUACAACUUGGGCUCAUACCGGAUAGGAGCUCCUGCGGCAUGAUUGGGGUUGGAAAGUUUCGGCGGUUGGGGGUGGACUCGCGGCUUAUCCGCUUGUUGGUGGGGUAGUGGCUUAGCAAGGCUUGGCCGGGUAGCCGGGCUGAGAGGGUGACAGGCCACAUUGGGACUGAGAUACGGCACAGACUCCUACGGGAGGGAGCAGUGGGGAAUAGUGUAUAAUGGGCGGAAGGCAGACGCAGCAACGCCGCGUGCGGGAUGAGGGCCAUCGGGUUGUAUACCGAAUUUGCCUCUGAUGAAGAGUGAGUGACGGUAAUGGGUAAAGAAGCCCCGGCUAACUACGUG
rnacentral:rRNA from 1 species